rnacentral:tRNA from 1 species
GGGGUUGUGGCUCAGCAGUAGAGCGCUUGCCUAGCACGUGCAAGGGGCUGGGUUCGAUCCUCAGCCCCA